UAAGGAAUAUUGGACAAUGGAGGCAACUCUGAUCCAGCCAUGCCGCGUGAAGGAAUAAGGCCCUAUGGGUUGUAAACUUCUUUUAGACGGGACAAAACCCCUUUACGUGUAAAGGGUUGAUGGUACUGUCAGAAUAAGCAUCGGCUAACUUCGUGCCAGCAGCCGCGGUAAUACGAAGGAUGCAAGCGUUAUCCGGAAUUAUUGGGUUUAAAGGGUGCGUAGGCGGACUAAUAAGUCAGUGGUGAAAGCCUGCAGCUUAACUGCAGAAUUGCCAUUGAUACUGUUAAUCUUGAGUACAGUUGAGGUAGGCGGAAUGUGUCAUGUAGCGGUGAAAUGCUUAGAUAUGACACAGAACACCGAUUGCGAAGGCAGCUUGCCAAGCUGUAACUGACGCUGAGGCACGAAAGCGUGGGGAGCAAACA
rnacentral:rRNA from 1 species